rnacentral:rRNA from 1 species
UACGAAGGGGGCUAGCGUUGCUCGGAAUCACUGGGCGUAAAGCGCACGUAGGCGGAUUCUUAAGUCAGGGGUGAAAUCCUGGAGCUCAACUCCAGAACUGCCUUUGAUACUGAGGUCUUGAGUUCGGGAGAGGUGAGUGGAACUGCGAGUGUAGAGGUGAAAUUCGUAGAUAUUCGCAAGAACACCAGUGGCGAAGGCGGCUCACUGGCCCGAUACUGACGCUGAGGUGCGAAAGCGUGGGGAGCAAACAGG